AGGGACCAGCCAGGAUCUCUAUCCUUACAGCACGUUGGAAUGUAUAUGCUCCUCUCCCCACAUCGCCUUAGGGAGCAGGCAGGUGUCAGGGGCAGCACAAGAUUUUAAAUGCCUGCAUUCAGCAUCCCUGCAGCAGGCUCCAGGUGGAAUUCUAAUGGGACCAGCCUCCAGUCCCUGGACCUUAGCCAUGGAAGGAGAGAAGAGGACAUCUGCACCUCCUCUCAGAGAAAGCCUGAUGCCUACUAAAGGACUUGGGGGGUGGACGCAGUGACCCUCAGUCUGGAGCUUGUUCACGGAACAUUGGAGACUAUCAUUUGCGCAGGUGGUCUUGGGCCUCUAUGAGCAGCAGGCUGCACCCCACAGUGACCUCCUCAUUCUACUCUGAGGCAUCUUCAUGAAAGCAGAUGUCCAUUGAAAAGCACCCAAGUGCAGUCUCAGCUGAUGAACUUCACAGACAAUUGAGACAAAGGCUCUUGGUCCCCUCUGCCCUUGGGUGGUGCCUCUGGUAUGCACUUGGCCCCUGUGUCUUUAUUUAGACUGGUCACUUCACAACCCAUCAUG
rnacentral:lncRNA from 1 species